rnacentral:rRNA from 1 species
AGAAUCAACGCUGGCGGCGCGCUUAACACAUGCAAGUCGAGCGAGAAAGCGGAGCAAUCCGUGAGUAAAGCGGCGUACGGGUGAGUAACACGUGGAUGAUCUACCUUUUAGUGGGGGAUAACCCUGGGAAACCGGGGCUAAUAUCGCAUAAGCCUGAGAAGGGAAAGCAGCAAUGCGCUGAAAGAGGAGUCCGCGGCCGAUUAGCUAGUUGGUGAGGUAAUGGCUCACCAAGGCGAUGAUCGGUAGCCGGCCUGAGAGGGCACACGGCCACACUGGCACUGAAACACGGGCCAGACUCCUACGGAGGCAGCAGUGGGGAAUCUUGCACAAUGGAGGCAACUCUGAUGCAGCGACGCCGCGUGAGCGAUGAAGCCCCUCGGGGUGUAAAGCUCUUUCGGCAGGGACGAUAAUGACGGUACCUGAAGAAGAAGCUGCGGCUAACUACGCGCCAGCAGCCGCGGU